rnacentral:pre_miRNA from 1 species
AUGUGUUCAUGGCACAACGGUUAGCGCGUCGGUUGAAACCGUUGUACCAUGAAAACAUUU